UACGUAGGGUGCGAGCGUUAAUCGGAAUUACUGGGCGUAAAGCGUGCGUAGGCGGUCCGCAAAGUCUGAUGUGAAAGCCCCGGGCUCAACCUGGGAACUGCAUUGGAAACUAACGGGCUCGAGUGUGGCAGAGGGGGGUGGAAUUCCACGUGUAGCAGUGAAAUGCGUAGAGAUGUGGAGGAACACCGGUGGCGAAGGCGGUUCUCUGGGCAUUACCUGACGCUGAGGAGCGAAAGUGUGGGGAGCGAACAGG
rnacentral:rRNA from 1 species